AGCCAACAAGGCCUUUACUGACGCUAAAGCUCGAAGGUGCGGGUAUCGAACAGGAUUAGAUACCCUGGUAGUCCGCACGGUAAACGAUGGAUGCCCGCUGUUGGCGAUAUAAUGUCAGCGGCCAAGCGAAAGCGUUAAGCAUCCCACCUGGGGAGUACGCCGGCAACGGUGAAACUCAAAGGAAUUGACGGGGGCCCGCACAAGCGGAGGAACAUGUGGUUUAAUUCGAUGAUACGCGAGGAACCUUACCCGGGCUUGAACUGCAGCGGAAGGAUACAGAGAUGUUGACGCCCUUCGGGGCCGCUGUGGAGGUGCUGCAUGGUUGUCGUCAGCUCGUGCCGUGAGGUGUCGGCUUAAGUGCCAUAACGAGCGCAACCCUUUUCGUCAGUUGCCAUCAGGUGAUGCUGGGCACUCUGGCGAUACUGCCACCGUAAGGUGUGAGGAAGGUGGGGAUGACGUCAAAUCAGCACGGCCCUUACGUCCGGGGCUACACACGUGUUACAAUGGGGAGUACAGAGAGUCGGUUGUACGCAAGUACGGUCUAAUCAUGAAAGCUCUCCUCAGUUCGGAUUGGGGUCUGCAACCCGACCCCAUGAAGCU
rnacentral:rRNA from 1 species